rnacentral:lncRNA from 1 species
AGACGGUCAUGAUGAGCGGCGGAGGCACACGAUAGAGCUAACAAAAAGCGAUAAAGCUGCUGCAUGGAUGGAGGAUUAUUGCAAAACUUGCUGCACAUCAUUGGCAAUGUCAUGAAAGCCUUCGGCGAUGUCGGUGGCGACGUGGAGGGGCAGUUGUCGUAUGGGAGAGAGGGAGAGGAUAAAGUUAGCGCUGGUCUAAAAGAGAGAUAAAGAGAUGUUAGAUCUUUUAUUUUAAGUGGUGUUUUAAAAUUUCUUAUAAAUUAAUGACAAAAAAAAUCAUCACUAAUUAUUUAAAUUUCUGUAACUAAUUCAUUAAAAAUCUGUUAG